GUCCAGGUCGCCUAACAGUAGGGUAUUGGUCUGCAAAACCGACUGUGCGAGUACCCUUCGGGAACGCUAACGCGAACGACUCUCGCCCUGGACUCCA
rnacentral:tRNA from 1 species